rnacentral:rRNA from 1 species
AUUGAACGCUGGCGGCAGGCCUAACACAUGCAAGUCGAGCGGAUGAAGGGAGCUUGCUCCUGGAUUCAGCGGCGGACGGGUGAGUAAUGCCUAGGAAUCUGCCUGGUAGUGGGGGAUAACGUCCGGAAACGGGCGCUAAUACCGCAUACGUCCUGAGGGAGAAAGUGGGGGAUCUUCGGACCUCACGCUAUCAGAUGAGCCUAGGUCGGAUUAGCUAGUUGGUGGGGUAAAGGCCUACCAAGGCGACGAUCCGUAACUGGUCUGAGAGGAUGGUCAGUCACACUGGAACUGAGACACGGUCCAGACUCCUACGGGAGGACGCAGUGGGGAAUAUUGGGCAAUGGGCGAAAGCCUGAUCCAGCCAUGCCGCGUGUGUGAAGAAGGUCUUCGGAUUGUAGAGCACUUUAAGUUGUGAGGAAGGGCAGUAAGUUAAUACCUUGCUGUUUUGACGGUACCAACAGAAUAAGCACCGGCUAACUUCGUG